rnacentral:rRNA from 1 species
CAGUUCAGAUUGCAGGCUGCAACUCGCCUGCAUGAAGUCGGAAUUGCUAGUAAUCGUAGGUCAGCAUACUACGGUGAAUACGUUCCCGGGCCUUGUACACACCGCCCGUCAAACCAUGAGAGUUGGCAACACCCGAAGUCGGUAGUCUAACCGCAAGGAGGACGCCGCCGAAGGUGGGGUUGAUGAUUAGGGUUAAGUCGUAACAAGGUAAC